UACGUAGGGCGCAAGCGUUGUCCGGAAUUAUUGGGCGUAAAGAGCUCGUAGGUGGCUUGUCGCGUCUGCCGUGAAAGCCCAUGGCUUAACUGUGGGUCUGCGGUGGAUACGGGCAGGCUGGAGGCUGGUAGGGGCAAGCGGAAUUCCUGGUGUAGCGGUGAAAUGCGCAGAUAUCAGGAGGAACACCGGUGGCGAAGGCGGCUUGCUGGGCCAGUUCUGACGCUGAGGAGCGGAAGCGUGGGGAGCGAACAGG
rnacentral:rRNA from 1 species